UGUCUGGAAUAACGUCUCGAAAGGGGCACUAAUACCGGAUAUUCUUGCUUUCUAUAAGGUAUGCAAGGAAAGGUGGCCUCUGGAACAAGCUACUGCACGAGGAGGGGUCUGCGUACCAUUAGCUAGUAGGUGGGGUAAUGGCCUACCUAGGCGACGAUGGUUAGCGGGUCUGAGAGGAUGAUCCGCCACACUGGCACUGGAAUACGGGCCAGACUCCUACGGGAGGCAGCAGUGAGGAAUAUUGCGCAAUGGGGGCAACCCUGACGCAGCGACGCCGCGUGAGUGAGGAAGGCCUUCGGGUCGUAAAGCUCUGUCAAGAGGGAAGAAAUGCAUGGUGGUUAAUAUCUGUCAUGUUUGACGGUACCUCUAAAGGAAGCACCGGCUAACUCCGUGCCAGCAGCCGCGGUAAUACGGAGGGUGCAAGCGUUGUUCGGAAUCACUGGGCGUAAAGGGCGCGCAGGCGGCCUGAUUAGUCAGAUGUGAAAGCCCACGGCUUAACUGUGGAAGUGCAUUUGAAACUGUCAGGCUUGAGUACCAGAGGGGA
rnacentral:rRNA from 1 species